CGGGCAUGGAGAGCCCGCGGAGUCCUCAGACAUGCUGGGGCUGGGGACGUCAGAGUGACACUUCUCCUGUUCUUCUGUCAUCUUCAGGUGACUGGUCUCAACAAGCAGAGGAGCAAAAGCCUGUGAUGGCUGACACCGAGGCAUCAGAGGUGUGGUCGGGCAUGUUCGCACCCUCGCAUCACUGACUGAGGAGGGUUUGAGGAACCCUGAAGACUGACUUUUCUGCAGUUAACUAACUCCAAGGGGUGGGGUCGGACCAUCGGUCCCACAGCGUACACGGAAAACCCGCCCGAAGGCUCGGGUCUUGGGAAACUUCUCAGCUUGACUUCGAGCCAUGGCGUUAAAAUUUUGAGGCAAACAUUGAGGAAUGCACUUUCAAACAUGAACCACAUUGCUUGCAGCCACUGUAAAUGAUGGUGUCAUAAGGAUGGACGGGCAGCCCCUUUAGUGUUUGCUUUACCAGAUCAGAGUGCUUUGGCCACGGGCAGCUGUUGACAUAUGGCAUUUUGCAAAGGGUGGAGUUUAAAUAAGAUUUAUCAAGACGCUGUCACCCUCAGAAGGAUCUGCCUCACAUUCCCCACUCUGACUCUCUCACACCUCCCUGACAUCCCACACAGGACCGCCGCGGACUCACCUGAAAGACUGGGGGCCUGGAAGCAUGAAGAAACUUUCUCAGGAAUACCUGCUUGACACAUUUCCAAAAGCUUGCACAAGUUUACCUGGGAAUUUACAUGUAAGGAACAAAAACACAAAAAUUACACACGAGUUCGCAGGAAAUAAAAGCAAAGCACAAACAUUGCAGUAAAAUACUGAUUUCAGUCAAAUUAAUAGCUGAACUUCUGUACUUAUUGGGGGGGAACAUAAUAAAACCUGUUGUUUUGGUGGAGUUUUUAUCGUUCUCGUUUAGUUGCUUUUUUAUUUCUACAUCUAAAAAAUAAAAAUAAAACAUUAUUGAACUCUG